rnacentral:rRNA from 1 species
UACGUGAAACCGUUCAGGGGUAAACGUGAGAGACCCGAAAUUGCACAACCGGAGAGAUUCACGCCCAUCCGGUGUCCGUCCCUUCGGCAGCCAGAUGGGGCCGCGCGCCCGCACGGAGCAAUCCGUGACGGGGUCGUUUGCGGUUGCCUAUCCACUGGUUGUUCGGAUGUGUGGCGGGCUCGGUGGGCCGCAUUUCUCUCCAUGUUGGACGUCGCGACCCGUUGGGUGCCGGUCUAAGGCCCGGGAUCUGAGUCUGUCCGGCCGCUUUGCGUGUCGGACAGCAGCCCGGUGUUCCCGGCCGGCGGCUCGACGGUACUGUUGCACGGAGUUGAUUCGCCACCCUUCGGGGUGGGCGCCCGGCCCCCGGCAAGCGCGUGCGCGGUUCUGGAUGACGGACUUCUGGUCCGGCUCUGGGCCCGCAUCGCUGUUAGCCCGGGGUGUCUCGGACGGAAGAAUCGUUGACUCCGGUCAGCGGCGCUAAAGCUUUGGGUAAUUUCACGACCCGUCUUGAAACACGGACCAAGGAGUCUAACAUGUGCGCGAGUCAUUGGGCUGUAAAACCCAGAGGCGCAAUGAAAGUGAAGGUCUCGCCUUGCGCGGACCGAGGGAAGAUGGAGCGCGCGUCAGCGUGUCUUCCGCAUUCUMGGGGCGUCUCGUWCUCAUUGMGAGUUGAGGCGCACCCAGAGCGUAUACGUUGGGACCCGAAAGAUGGUGAACUAUGCCUGGCCAGGACG